rnacentral:lncRNA from 1 species
CUGCGGUUUAUCUUCAACGUUUCUCCUGCCUGGAUAGCAACGGGAACCCAUCUCCAUCAUCCUGGGUGCCUUCACCAACGCAUCGUCUGCCUGGACACCAUCUCCAGCCCUUCUCCUGCUCGGCUAGGUUCUGUGGCCCUGAACUGCCAGAUGGGGUGGUUUUAACUGUGGAGAGGGGCGAGCACCGCUGUAUGGCUGGGCACCCAGAAACGUGGCCUUGCACACGUCGGGCACAGACACACUGCUCCUGGGAGGUCUCAUUCCCUUGUGAGAGGUGAGCACCAGGCGCUCCUACCUGAGC